rfam:Thermoplasmatales archaeon SCGC AB-539-C06 MBGDC06_Contig101.100, whole genome shotgun sequence.
UUUGACGGUCAAAGCGGCGGGGAAACACCCGGUCUCAUUCCGAACCCGGCAGUUAAGCCCACCUGCGUAAUUCUCUGUACUAUGGUGCGAGAGCCCAUGGGACGACUACCCUCUCUGAG